rnacentral:rRNA from 1 species
GCUCCUCUUCCUUAUCCUCUCGCAUUCCCAGCCACACAACCAUUCUUCCCCCGCGUCCUCUCCCUCCCGUGGUCUACCUCCAAAUAAACAGCUCGCCGGCAGCGGAAGAGGUGUGUGGCGAGCGAGCGAUCCCGGAGGAGCACAAACGAAGAAGCAGAGGUGCGUAGAGGACGACUGUCGGCGAGCGGAGGUAUGGUGCUUCCAGCUAUAGCGGCAGCCUGUGGAUGCUGGCAAGAGCUACAACCAUGGCGGCCAGGUGCUGGAAUCCGCACAAAUUUUUGCUUCAAUCGGCGUUCUGUUUUUUGCUGAAACUAGCGCUGUUCUGUAUGUUUUUGCUACCACCGUUUUGUAUUUUGCUGGAACCAGCGUCGUUUUUUGCUACCACCGCGUUUUUGAUUUGCUGGAACCAGCCCUCGACUUUGCAUCUUUGCUACCACCAUGGUGGCCAGAUGCUGGAACCCGCACAAAUUUUUGCUUCCAUCGGCGUUUUGGUUUUACUGAAACUAGCGUCGUCUUUUGUAUUUUUUGCUACCACCCUUUUGUAUUUUGCUGGAACCAGCGUCGAUUUUUGCUACCAUCGCCUUUUUGAUUUGCUGGAACCAGCCCUCAACUUUGCAUCUUUGCUACCACCGGUGUUCUGGUUUGCUGGAACAAGCUUCAAUUUUUGCUACCACCAGGGUUCGGUUUGUUGGGACGCCGUCUAAUUUCCCAAAAAUUUGCUACUAUCGUUUUUUGGUUUGCUAGAACCAGCCCCAAUUUUUGCUACAACUGCCGUUUGCUGCGAGACCACGGAGUCGUCGCCAUUUGUUUCUACAGGAGGGCGAGGGAGGGGGAUGGGCAUCACCGGCGAGCAAAUUAAGGGCGAGGUACGGCGCGAGCUCGACGACGGGGUGCUGCGGCCAUCUCCACCAGGGUUGCCAUGGCCGGUAAGCACGGUCGCCCAAGGAUGCGGCGGCGAGCGUGGGUUGCCGGUGAACACGAUGCCAAGAACGAGCGUGGGGCAGCCAAGGAUGCAUCGGUGAGAGCGUGUUGCCGGCGAGCAUGAGGCCAAGGAUGAGCGCGGGCGGCCCAAGGAUGCGUCGGCGAGAGCGGGUUGCCGGCGAGCAUGAGGCCGAGGACGAGCGCGGGCGGCGCAAGUGGAAGGCGAGCGCGGCGCUGGGGAAACUGCACGAGACGGUUAAAUACAGAGACCUGCGCGAGGGCGAGAUGCGUCAGGAGGGAGAUAAUGUCUGGGGCAAAUCGUUUUCUUUUUCUAUAUAUCCAACGGCCAGGGCUAGUGGCAUCUGGCGGCUAGGGUGCGACCGGCCGAAACUUUCGGCCGGCGCCCAGUAUUGCCCUUAGAAUAUUUAUGCCCCAGCUACAACGCAGGGUAAUUAACAAAUGAAAAAAAAAUGCUUGCAAGAUGUUUGAGUCAAUGAAAAAAUUGCUUUCCGAAUAUAAUGUCAAAUACUUAGAAAGAGGCCCUAGAAAAUUUAUUUGAUUCAAAGGGUCUUUCAUUUUUGCUGCACCCGGGGCAGAACUUCUC